CAGUAGCCGCGGGAAUACGGAGGGUGCAAGCGUUAAUCGGAAUUACUGGGCGUAAAGCGCACGCAGGCGGUUUGUUAAGUCAGAUGUGAAAUCCCCGAGCUUAACUUGGGAACUGCAUUUGAAACUGGCAAGCUAGAGUCUUGUAGAGGGGGGUAGAAUUCCAGGUGUAGCGGUGAAAUGCGUAGAGAUCUGGAGGAAUACCGGUGGCGAAGGCGGCCCCCUGGACAAAGACUGACGCUCAGGUGCGAAAGCGUGGGGAGCAAACAGGAUUAGAUACCCCUGUAGUCCCUGUCUCUUAUAC
rnacentral:rRNA from 1 species